rnacentral:rRNA from 1 species
GCCAAGAAUAUUCCGCAAUGGGCGAAAGCCUGACGGAGCGACGCCGCGUGGACGAUGAAGGCCUUCGGGUUGUAAAGUCCUUUCGUGCGGGAAUAAUUUCACGCCGGUGAACAUCCGGCGUGAUCGACUGUACCGCAGGAAGAAGCCCCGGCUAAUUACGUGCCAGCAGCCGCGGUAAUACGUAUGGGGCGAGCGUUAUUCGGAUUCAUUGGGCGUAAAGCGCAUGUAGGUGGUCCUUUAAGUCGAUGGUGAAAUUUCCAGGCUCAACCUGGAGACUGCUGUCGAUACUGGGGGACUUGAGUUCAGGAGAGGAGAAUGGAAUUCCAGGUGUAGGGGUGAAAUCUGUAGAUAUCUGGAAGAACACCAGUGGCGAAGGCGAUUCUCUGGCCUGAAACUGACACUGAGAUGCGAAAGCUAGGGGAGCAAACGGGAUUAGAUACCCCUGUAGUCC